rnacentral:rRNA from 2 species
GGAUGCGAUCAUACCAGCACUAAAGCACCGGAUCCCAUCUGAACUCCGAAGUUAAGCGUGCUUGGGCGAGAGUAGUACUAGGAUGGCUGACCUCCUGGGAAGUCCUCGUGUUGCAUUCC